UACGAAGGGGGCUAGCGUUGCUCGGAAUCACUGGGCGUAAAGGGCGCGUAGGCGGAUCUUUAAGUUGGGGGUGAAAAGCCCAGGGCUCAACCCUGGAAAUUGCCUUCGAUACUGGAGAUCUUGAGACCGGAAGAGGUAAGUGGGAACUGCGAGUGUAGAGGUGAAAUUGCGUAGAUAAUUCGCAAGAACACCAGUGGCGAA
rnacentral:rRNA from 1 species